GACGAACGCUGGCGGCGUGCUUAACACAUGCAAGUCGAACGGAAAGGCCCUGCUUGCAGGGUACUCGAGUGGCGAACGGGUGAGUAACACGUGGGUGAUCUGCCCUGCACUUCGGGAUAAGCCUGGGAAACUGGGUCUAAUACCGGCUAGGUGCCAUUUUUAGUGUGAUGGUUGGAAAGUUUUUUCGGUGUAGGAUGAGCUCGCGGCCUAUCAGCUUGUUGGUGGGGUAAUGGCCUACCAAGGCGGCGACGGGUAGCCGGCCUGAGAGGGUGGACGGCCACAUUGGGACUGAGAGACGGCCCAGACGCCUACGGUAGGCAGCAGUGGGGAAUAUUGCACAAUGGGCGCAAGCCUGAUGCAGCGACGCCGCGUGGGGGAUGACGGCCUUCGGGUUGUAAACUCCUUUCGCUAGGGACGAAGCUUUUUGUGACGGUACCUAGAUAAGAAGCACCGGCUAACUACGUG
rnacentral:rRNA from 1 species